AUUGAACGCUGGCGGCAGGCCUAACACAUGCAAGUCGAGCGGAUGAAGGGAGCUUGCUCCUGGAUUCAGCGGCGGACGGGUGAGUAAUGCCUAGGAAUCUGCCUGGUAGUGGGGGAUAACGUCCGGAAACGGGCGCUAAUACCGCAUACGUCCUGAGGGAGAAAGUGGGGGAUCUUCGGACCUCACGCUAUCAGAUGAGCCUAGGUCGGAUUAGCUAGUUGGUGGGGUAAAGGCCUACCAAGGCGACGAUCCGUAACUGGUCUGAGAGGAUGAUCAGUCACACUGGAACUGAGACACGGUCCAGACUCCUACGGGAGGCAGCAGUGGGGAAUAUUGGACAAUGGGCGAAAGCCUGAUCCAGCCAUGCCGCGUGUGUGAAGAAGGUCUUCGGAUUGUAAAGCACUUUAAGUUGGGAGGAAGGGCAGUAAGUUAAUACCUUGCUGUUUUGACGUUACCAACAGAAUAUGCACCGGCUAACUUCGUG
rnacentral:rRNA from 1 species